UUACCAGAGUACUAUGAAUGUGAAAGAUUUAAAACUCAAAGAACUUGGCGGUGUUUUAGACCACUUAGGGGAACCUGUCUCAUAAUCGAUAAUCCACGAUAUACCUGACCUUUUUUUGUUAUCAGUUUGUAUACCGUUGUCGUCAGGUAACUUUUUAGAAAUUAGAAGUUAGCAAUAUAGAGUAAUAGAAUAAUUCGUUACGUCAAAUCAAGGUGCAGCUAAUAGAAAGGGGAGGAUGGGUUACAAUUAUGUAAAUUAUAAUGACGGAAGGAAAUAUGAAAUUUGUGUCGGUUGUAAGGUGGACUUAAAAGUAAAUUAAAUUAUAUAGAUAAUUUGAAUAAGGCUCUGAAACGCGU
rnacentral:rRNA from 1 species